UCCUGUAACCUGCUGUUUUAAUAAGGAACGAAAAAAUUUGCCCUGUCACGACGAUUAUGCGUUAAUAACUGGCGGCGAAAGAAGACCUACAGAACGCAGGGCCUUCGCGCCGUAAGUGCCGUCAAGGCAGGUUUAUCAAGUAAAGGAAAGUCAAAUGACUAAGAUUACCGGUCACGUAAAAUGGUUCAACGAAAGCAAAGGCUUCGGCUUUAUCACUCCAGCCGAUGGCUCGAAAGAUGUUUUCGUGCAUUUUUCCGCUAUCGUCAGCGAUGGUUUCAAAACUCUGGCAGAAGGUCAGCAGGUUGAAUUCUCCAUCCAGGACAGCCAACGUGGCCCAGCCGCAGCCAACGUUGUUGCCAUCUAACGCAACGUCGCUGCCAAAAAACCCGCUUCCGGCGGGUUUUUUUAU
rnacentral:sRNA from 1 species